UUUCAGUGAGCCGAGAUCACAUCACUGCACUCCAGCCUGGGCAACAGAGCAAGACUUUGUCUCAAAAGACAAAACAAAAUGAAACAGAUAACCCCAAACUUGGUGACUUACAACAGAGAUUUACUCUCACGGUUCUGGUGGCCAGAAGUCUGAAAUCAAGCGGAUUUUUGGGAGCGGCAUGACCAUGCAGACAGCAUGCAGGAUGCUGGGAAAAGACAAGACUCAAGACCAGAGGUGCCCUGUGAGGCUUUGCAAUUGUCCAGAGGGACAGGUGAGGGCCUGCUGUAAAGCCGGAGAGAUGGAUUCAGGAGGAACUCGGUGGGCACAACUCCUAGGACCUAGUAAGUGAUUAUGAGGGGUGGGGCACGGUGACCUGCACGAUCCUGGUGGGUAGGUGGUAGGGUCUGUGUCCCAGAUAACUUAGGGAAAAGGACAGGGAUCCUCUGGAAAUAUCUUAGAUUGUGGGGAAAGGCAUCAGGAAGAGACGGAAAGGCAGCAAGACAACUAUGUGGUCGGGAGCUUAAGGAGUGUUCCAGACAGGUGACAGGUAUUAGAAGGGCCUAAUGAACUGGUGGUAGUAAAGGUUCCACCAGCCUGAAUAACAUCUCUCUGAAAGAGCAGAGAAAGAGUACAGCAUGGACUCCCACGCGGAGGGGCAUGGAGCAAAGAAAGAGCAUCUCUCAGGAGACGUUUGAGCUAAGACCUGAAGGAUAAGAGAGUCAGCCAGGUGUGCAAAGACCAGUGGGAUGGGGAGGACGAAUGGCCAUGGGAGUGAGAGAAGUGAGGACAAAGUCCUGAGGCAGAAUGGCACCUAUCAGCUGGCAGGAGACAAAGCACAGAGGUUAUGCAGCAUGGAGAGGAAGCAGGAGCCUGUAGGAGAAAUCCCAGACAAGCAGGGGCCAGAGUCAAGCCCCAAAGAGAAGGUGCGCUGUUUCCCAUCAGACUCACCUUGGGGUUUUAUUAGAGGGAGUAAUUCUGUGCACACAUCUCGGGUACCAAAGAAGUUUGUUUUCAUCGUCACUUCCGCUUGAAUAUGAAAGGGUGUGGGAUCAGCAA